rnacentral:rRNA from 1 species
UACGGAGGAUGCAAGCGUUAUCCGGAUUUAUUGGGUUUAAAGGGUCCGCAGGCGGGAUAAUAAGUCAGAGGUGAAAUCCUACGGCUCAACUGUAGAACUGCCUUUGAUACUGUUAUCCUAGAGUGUAGUUGAUGUGGGCGGAAUAUGUCAUGUAGCGGUGAAAUGCUUAGAUAUGACAUAGAACACCGAUCGCGAAGGCAGCUCACAAAGCUAAUACUGACGCUCAGGGACGAAAGCGUGGGGAUCAAACAGG